rnacentral:rRNA from 1 species
UACGAAGGGACCAAGCGUUGUUCGGAUUUACUGGGCGUAAAGGGCGCGUAGGCGGCGCGGUAAGUCACUUGUGAAAUCUCUGAGCUUAACUCAGAACGGCCAAGUGAUACUGCAGUGCUAGAGUGUGGAAGGGGCAAUCGGAAUUCUUGGUGUAGCGGUGAAAUGCGUAGAUAUCAAGAGGAACACCUGAGGUGAAGACGGGUUGCUGGGCCAACACUGACGCUGAGGCGCGAAAGCCAGGGGAGCAAACGGG